CCCAACCAAAAGCAACACCUAAAAACAUAAAAAGAACAAAGAACGUCCCAUGAUGCGGACCUAAAAAGUAAUGACCUUAUCUGCUACAUGGAUUUGAUUAAAUAACAAUACAUCAAAUUCCAUAGUGGAUCAAGUUGCAUUAGCCCAGAUUCAACUUCUACUCGCCAAAAUGCCUAUUUUAUUCAUAGUAUAUCUUAGAGCAAUACAUGUUUGUCACCCACAAACGGUAACCUUACAAAAAAUAACAAGGGCUUAUCAAUGAGGAUUUUUACCAUGUUGAACGCCUAAAGUCCAGUUGGAAAAUUCUAAUCACAUGUCCCCACAACCAAGGGGGAUUAAUCAAACCCAUGGGAGAUAAUCCUGUAGCAUAAGGUCCCAUUACAAAAGACCAGAAGAUACAAGCGAGUACAAAGAGUAUCAUCAAGCCCGAGUCAAAGGAGAUCACACGCUUGAAAUUUCUUCAUUGUGAAAGCUUCUCCAGCAUCACAUCCCCUCGACUUUCUCCCAAUAUUUGUAGGGAAAACAUAAUUAUGGGAGGUUUUUACCUUUCACUUGAGGCUUAUCCAUCUUAAUCUUCACUUCCAGUGAGCUGUUUGCCUGGUUGAUCUGCGUAUCUUCAGGUAGGGCAGAAAGAAGGAAUUUCUUGCUAGAACCAACAUGGUGGCAGACCUGCUUGAGCAUAUUUCGACCCCUCAUCCAUUUGAGCAUUAGCUUCAUGUGUGUUUUGCUGUUUAAUCCACUAACAUUAGCUUCCUGAAAGGAAAAACAAGUCAAAAUUGUAACUUAUCAAGUCAAUUAAUCAUAUUGACAAUGUUAAGAAUCUCAAGGCUGACUUAUUUUGCAUUGGCCAAACUAUCGAAGCCCCUGUAUUUUUAAAGCGAGAAGCGCAUAAAAGCGACAAGGUCCCUAGGGCUUUAAACAAGAAGCGAAACACAUGCUCCAUUGA
rnacentral:lncRNA from 1 species